AGGCUCAAGAAUCAGACCUCAAGCACGAAGUGCUUCACGCUGAUUUACCAAGUGACAACACACUAAUUGAGUAAUUAGUGAAGCGACAUAUUAGCGGCGGACGGGUGAGUAACGCGUGAGCAAUCUGCCUUACACAAAGGGAUAGCCUCGGGAAACUGGGAUUAAUACCAUAUGACACUUGGUAAUCGCAUGAGGACCAAGUCAAAGAUUUUAUCGGUGUAAGAUGAGCUCGCGUCUGAUUAGCUAGUUGGUGGGUAAAGGCCUACCAAGGCGACGAUCAGUAGCCGGCCUGAGAGGGUGAACGGCCACACUGGAACUGAGACACGGUCCAGACUCCUACGGGAGGCAGCAGUGGGGAAUAUUGCACAAUGGGCGCAAGCCUGAUGCAGCGACGCCGCGUGAGCGAAGAAGGUUUUCGGAUCGUAAAGCUCUGUCCUCUGGGAAGAAAAAAAUGACGGUACCAGAGGAGGAAGCCCCGGCUAACUACGUG
rnacentral:rRNA from 1 species